UACGGAGGGUGCGAGCGUUGUCCGGAAUCACUGGGCGUAAAGGGCGCGUAGGCGGCCUGAUAAGUAGGGGGUGAAAUCCUGCGGCUUAACCGCAGGGCUGCCUUCUAAACUGUCGGGCUCGAGCACAGUAGAGGCAGGUGGAAUUCCCGGUGUAGCGGUGAAAUGCGCAGAUAUCAGGAGGAACACCGGUGGCGAAGGCGGCACUCUGGGCCGGUACUGACGCUGAGGAGCGAAAGCGUGGGGAGCGAACAGG
rnacentral:rRNA from 1 species